UUUAUCCAGAAAGACUGAGGGGCGGGCCCUAUGACGUCUUGGCAACCCAGAAAUACUGGGUGCCAAUUCCCGCUGGCAAUUUGCCAGGCAGAUGAG
rnacentral:ncRNA from 1 species